GGUCCAUGAUUUUUCUUCAGAUCGUGUAAAUCUUUCGCAUUUUACUAAAGAUGUCCGUGGAGGGGAGCAUUCAGAAUUUGAAUUAAUUUUUUGUUGCCCUGCUUCUGUGGAAA